CUUGGUCGUGGUGCUUUGUCACAGCAAUGAGAAAGUUAACUAAGGCAGGGGGUGUUCGUGUUUUGUUCUUGUUCCACAAAUACACAGCCCUUGUGCAUCUGUUACAUGAUUCCAUUUAACGUCAUUUUUAGCACUUUCUCUGUCAGUCUCUUUGGGCUUGUGACAUUUUUUUUUCUCAGACGCUGAUGGUGUCACGGGGGCCUCAGUAUCUCGUCCUUCCUCCCCUCCUUGUGCGUAGAUGUUUGUGGCAUUGUUACAACGAUGCUACACCCAUCCUUAUUUCUCAAACGGUCUGCAAAAUGCAACACCUGCCACCGUCUCUCAGCCGUGUCCCGAAGGAAUGACAUUCGUGGGUUGAAGGGGUUCCUUUGUGAGGCUGAGAGCUCUUGUCCUACGGAAAUGAAGCUUGGCAUUCCUCAGCCACACUGUGUGUUAUCAGUGCUUAGAGGUGCUGGUGAAGGUCAUGAUGAUAAUGAAGGUCGUGGUGAUGACAGUCAGUAUUUCUUGAGCGCUUACAACGUUCUGCCACUCUAAAAGGACUUUACAAAAAUGAGCUAUUUGUCACUGAGACUUACCUGUGAGGUAAGGCACCUUACAAUCUCCACUUUGCAGAAGAGGAAACUGAGCUCAGGGAAGCUAACCGUCUUGCCCAAGGAUACACAGUUGGUCUGUGAAGCAGGGCAUCACCCUAGGUGUUUCUAAAUCAGAGCAGUGCCACGUGGCUGAUGCUCCUUCCUCCUCCAUGCUUCAGGUCAUGAGCAAACCUCUCAAACAACUGUGCAGAAGCCUCACUGUGGAGAGAGAUGAGUCUGUACAGGAAGCUUCCCGUGGUGAGAGAUGAGUCAACGUUAAUCCAGAAACAAACCGCUUGCAGAUAAGAGUAUAGACCGAGCACCCUCUCGUCCUUUCAUGAGGCUGAUAUUUCUCAUGCCCGCCCGACAUUAUUGGUGAUCUUCACAGCCCCAGUCAUCAACUUUUGAGAACUCACCCAGCGGUUUACUGUGUGGUUUCAAUACCGCUUCUCACAGGGAGUCACCCAUGGUUUCACCAGUCUGAAGGUCUGGCUUCAAGAGUCCUUAGGUUACCCAGUUGCUAUGGCAAUGCCAGUUGUUUCCAGAAAUGCUUGACUCGAGGGAAGACCCAUCCUGUGCGUAGGUGGCAGCAUCCCACAGCUUGGGACCAGAGUGACUGAGAAAGGACCCAAGGACAAGCAUUACAUUUAGCUCUCUCGGAUUACUGCCAUGGGCUGCAGCGUGCCUGGAUGCUUGAUGUUCUCACCACUCUGUCACUCCUGCUAUGAUGGACCAUAUUCCCCGGAACUCCAAGAGUCACUAUCCGUAAAACAUGUCUCUGGCUGUGAGGCCAUCUGCCACCUCAACACAGUGAGGUUAGCAAUAAUUGCUCCCUCUUCACGAAUGAAGAUGCCCAUUCAGAGAGUUUGUUACAUGCUCAUGAAAAUGAAAGAAUUGGGCUCUGAGGCCAUAGUAGAGGACAAUGCAGCCACUUUUGAUGUGAACUGAUAGACUAAGAUCAGUAAGGAGAGGAGAACCUCCCCUAUCAGUGGACUUGGGGAGUGGCAUGCAU